rnacentral:snRNA from 1 species
GGAUGUGAGGACCAUCUGGCUACAACAGAUGCCACGCCAGUGGUGCCUGGAGUUGACUACGGUGAUCUGUCAGGCUAGGCAUGUGGCCUAUCCCACCCUCACCACUCCAUGUGCACCCCUCCUAAAACUGCAUCUCACCCCUUCUUGGCAGAGCACGGCCAUUUUUGGUCAGAGGUGUACAGGUGCUGUGCCCCCCAGCCAGAACCUCCAAACAAGCUCUCAGACACAGCAGGUCCAAAACUGUAAUAAGGACCUUUCUCCAAAAAACACUUGUUUUCGUUGUUUUGUUAUUCUGAGAUAGGCU